CUCCCUUCCCGUCGCUCACUCUCCUCUCUCUCACACGACCAGCACGACGACGCCGGUGCCCCCCUCCUCCUCUGUUGGCACCCGGUGCCCCCUCCUCCUCCGCCACCGGCGCGGAUCCGGUGGCCUGGCGCUCCCCUCCUCCUCUGCCGGUCGCCGGCCGCUCAGUCGUCCGCCACCGGCGCUCCUCCUCGCCGCUCCCUCCUCCCUCCCCCCGCUGGCCCAUGGCUACGGGCGCCCGACGGAUCUGGUGGUGCGUCGGCGUCGGCGUCUCUCUCGCCAAGCUACUCUUUCUCAGGACAGCGUCAGGGGGGGUCGGGACAAGCGGAGCACGGGGUGCCGCCGUCGGCAUCUCUCUCGCCGAGCUCCUCUUGUCUCUCCCCAGGCACCACACCGGGACGACGAGCGCGCACACCUUGUGUCUCUUGGAGUUCCUCGCCAUGCCCUAGGCGGAGACGCGUGUUUCUUGGAGUGGGUGCGCAAGGAUUGGCAGAGCUUUUACAAAAAGUGAUUCCUCUCCUCCUCUCUCCGCCGUGGCAUGGUGAGGCCGAACGCCACCUCUUAUUGUACUGUGAAUGGCCUAAUAGAGUCCCAUUCUCUCACGCGAUCAGCCUGCAGUGCAGCAUUUUCCUUUCCUCGCCCCUUCAAAUUUGCUGUCACCAAUUUCCUUCGUCUCCCACCGUCGACAGCUACUGGUGCAGCGAGAGAAAUGAAAGGCUCCGGCCUGGUCGAUCCAUAGGCGUACCAUGCAGUCAUACAAUCCAUGGAAGUGGUUAAAGGGAUCCAAAUUCGUGCUCAAAGUAGGAAUGCGAGGCUAAUCGGAAUCGGCAAAUUGCUGUACGUGUAACGCUUUUUAUUUAACAAGAUGGCGUCCAACAUGCACGUCAUUUCCACAAACUUGUCAAUUGGUCACCAGGAUAGAUGCAGAUGCUACCGGACGAGUUAAAACAUCAAUGUCAACUUGUCUGUAGUAAACGGAAGAAUGCAUUGAUGCGUCAUUGUUCAUUGCUGGGGAUGUUUGGGACAAGAGGCUAAACUUUAGCCCCUUAUCCCAUCGAAUA